UAAUACUGAGGGUGCAAGCGUUAAUCGGAAUUACUGGGCGUAAAGCGCGCGUAGGCGGUCUGGUCAGUCAGGUGUGAAAGCCCCGGGCUUAACCUGGGAACUGCAUUUGAAACUGCCAGACUAGAGUGUGGUAGAGGGAAGUGGAAUUCCGCGUGGAGCGGUGAAAUGCGUAGAGAUGCGGAGGAACACCAGUGGCGAAGGCGACUUCCUGGACCAACACUGACGCUCAGGUGCGAAAGCGUGGGGAGCAAACAGGAUUAGAUACCCUGGUAGUCCACGCCGUAAACGAUGUCUACUAGCCGUUGGGGAGCUUGUCUCCUUAGUGGCGCAGCUAACGCGAUAAGUAGACCGCCUGGGGAGUACGGUCGCAAGACUA
rnacentral:rRNA from 1 species